rnacentral:rRNA from 1 species
CCUACGGGCGGCAGCAGUGGGGAAUAUUGCACAAUGGGGGAAACCCUGAUGCAGCGACGCCGCGUGAGUGAUGAAGUAUUUCGGUAUGUAAAGCUCUAUCAGCAGGGAAGAUAAUGACGGUACCUGACUAAGAAGCCCCGGCUAACUACGUGCCAGCAGCCGCGGUAAUACGUAGGGGGCAAGCGUUAACCGGAUUUACUGGGUGUAAAGGGAGCGUAGGUGGCAGGGCAAGUCAGAUGUGAAAACCCGGGGCUCAACCCCGGGAGUGCAUUUGACACUGUCCAGCGGGAGUGCAGGAGAGGAAAGCGGAAUUCCUAGUGUAGGGGUGAAAUGCAUAGAUAUUAGGAGGAACAGCAGUGGCGAAGGCGACUAUCUGGCAUAUAACUGACACUGAGGCUCGAAAGCGUGGGGAGCAAACAGGAUUAGAUACCCCAGUAGUC